rnacentral:rRNA from 1 species
CGCCUUAUGAUAGUAUAUAAGGUCAUUUCUGCUCAAUGCAAAGUUAAUAGCUGCGGUAUUCUAACUGUACUAAGGUAGCAUAAUAAUUUGUCCUUUAAUUGAGGUCUAGAAUGAAAGAAUUCACGAAAAACUAACUGUCUCUAUUGUAAUUAAUGAAAUUUAUCGUUAAGUCAAAAAGCUUAAAUUUAUUGGAGGGACGACAAGACCCUAUAGAUCUUAACUUAUCCAUGUAUAUAUUAUACAUAGGUAAGGUUGUUUGGGAUGAACCUCAAAACUAUAUAACUUUAGAUAAAUGAACAAUAAUCAGUUCAAUUAAAUGAUCCUUUUAUAGAUAAUUAGAAAUAGUUACCUUAAGGAUAACAGCACAAUUAUUACUAUUUAGACCAUUUGAAUAGUAAAGGUUGUGACCUCGAUGUUGAAUUAAGUUUACUAAUAAAUGAAGAAGGUUAUUAAGUUAGUCUGCUCGACUAUUAAACACUU